GAUGAACGCUGGCGGCGUGCCUAAUACAUGCAAGUCGAGCGAACAGACGAGGAGCUUGCUCCUCUGACGUUAGCGGCGGACGGGUGAGUAACACGUGGAUAACCUACCUAUAAGACUGGGAUAACUUCGGGAAACCGGAGCUAAUACCGGAUAAUAUAUUGAACCGCAUGGUUCAAUAGUGAAAGACGGUUUUGCUGUCACUUAUAGAUGGAUCCGCGCCGCAUUAGCUAGUUGGUAAGGUAACGGCUUACCAAGGCAACGAUGCUUAGCCGACCUGAGAGGGUGAUCGGCCACACUGGAACUGAGACACGGUCCAGACUCCUACGGGAGGCAGCAGUAGGGAAUCUUCCGCAAUGGGCGAAAGCUUGACGGAGCAACGCCGCGUGAGUGAUGAAGGUCUUCGGAUCGUAAAACUCUGUUAUUAGGGAAGAACAAAUGUGUAAGUAACUAUGCACGUCUUGACGGUACCUAAUCAGAAAGCCACGGCUAACUACGUG
rnacentral:rRNA from 1 species